rnacentral:rRNA from 1 species
UACGGGGGGGGCAAGCGUUGUUCGGAAUUACUGGGCGUAAAGGGCUCGUAGGUGGCCAACUAAGUCAGACGUGAAAUCCCUCGGCUUAACCGGGGAACUGCGUCUGAUACUGGAUGGCUUGAGUUCGGGAGAGGGAUGCGGAAUUCCAGGUGUAGCGGUGAAAUGCGUAGAUAUCUGGAGGAACACCGGUGGCGAAGGCGGCAUCCUGGACCGACACUGACACUGAGGAGCGAAGGCCAGGGGAGCAAACGGG